CGAGAAGUCAUGGUUUCGUUUUGUUUUUUUAACAAAUGGGUAUGAAUAUUUAAAACACUCUCAGUCUUCCCUUAUUUGGAAUGGAGUUGCUAUUUGUUGGGCUUCCCAGGUGGCAUGGUGGUAAAAAAUCCUCCUGCUAACGCAGGAGAUGCAAGAGACAUGAGUUUGAUCCCUGGGUGGGGAAAAUCCCGUGGAAUAGGAAAUGGCAACCCACUCCAAUAUUCUUUUUUUUUAAUUUUUUUUUUUUUAGAUUAUGAAAGUAUGAUAACACAUAUACAGAAGAUUUGGAAAAUACAGAACAAAGGAAAGACCCUUCAACCGUGUGGUGGUAGUUCCCCUGGGCACAGCACUCAGAAGCCAUCCACCGUUUCCGACCCAGUACCACUGUCCACAAAUCACAGUAAUGCCGUCGUCACUUGGGAGAAGGCAGUUUCAGGAGAUUCGCAGGCACCAAUUAAAAUCUGAGUGACAUUUAAUUUAAAUUGAACUUAAAUGUCCCUGGUGGCUCAGACGGUAAAUAAUUCACCUGUACUGCGGGAGACCUGGGUUCAAACCCUGGGUNNNNNNNNNNNNNNNNNNNNNNNNNNNNNCCCACUCCAGUAUUCUUGCCUGGAGAAACCCCAUGGAUGGAGGAGCCUGGAGGGAUUGCAAAGACUCAGACAGGACUGAAUGACUAAGUGCACGCGCAAACGCAUACACACACAAUUGAAUUUAGAAACUGGAGAAUAACACAUUCACUGAAAAUGAUAUUAUAUUGACAUAGUUACUGAAAUGCAGUGAUGCUCACAUGUUCUGUAAAAGAAACAGCUUUCAAAGACUGCAUUUGAUAUCAGUGCCUCCCAUAAAUGGUAAAGGAGGCCUGUUUAUUUGUUUGUCAACCUGUUUCUGAUUUACUGCAGACCAAUGUGUGGUCUUACUGGGCAUGAAUCGUCUGCUUCUCAAGACACGGACACCCUCAAAGUGAAUUCAACAAUAUCUGGUCUACAUCCCGUUCAAGGAGACCUGUCCAUCAUUCACACAUUGGAUGUCAUGGUGAUGCCAGAUUGAUAGAAAAGUUUCCAAAUGCUUACUUCCAAUUUUUGCAUUUAUCAGAUUGCAGGCGGGGGACAACAAUUCACAUACCAGCUUUAACAGUGCAUUCUGUGCAGUCCUAUAUUCUGUACAAUAAUGUAGAUCUCCAGAAGAAUUCCUUAUUGUACCCCAAGCACAAACAGAUGCUGUAACACUGUAGGCAAUGAACGAUUUCCAGAGUCUAGGCUUGAAAGACGGUCUGGAGACAUGAGCUCUGUGUUAGCAGAGUCUCAGAAAGGGGCUCUGAGUGCUUCUCUGGUUUUGUGUCUGAGCGGUUUUCUAUGUGUGGGUUCCUUUCCUUUUGGAAUCACUUUUUGUUUGUAUUUUUCAAGUUACAGAUGUCUACUUUCCCUAUACUGGAGUCAAAGAGUUCUGGUUGGGCCAAUAAAUAAUUCAUUUCUAAAAGUACAAUAAAAUUAAGAUAAUUAGACUAUUUCCUGGCUGUAAAAUACAAUGAGUUAAGCUCUCUUUUCCUUUAAAUACAAAAAUAAAAUACAGUAAUCCAGGUCAUAUUUAGUACAAUUUAACAUAUAUAUAUAUAUGUGUUGUUGUUGGCAUUUAUUUGCUAAGUCACGUCUGACUCUUUUGCAACCCCAUGGACUAUAGCUCA
ensembl:lncRNA